UACAGGGGGGGCAAGCGUUGUUCGGAAUUACUGGGCGUAAAGGGCCAGUAGGCGGCCGACUAAGUCCGACGUGAAAUCCCCAGGCUUAACCUGGGAACUGCGUCGGAUACUGGUUGGCUUGAAUUCGGGAGAGGGAUGCAGAAUUCCAGGUGUAGCGGUGAAAUGCGCAGAUAUCAGGAGGAACACCGGUGGCGAAGGCGGGUCUCUGGGCCGAUACUGACGCUGAGGAGCGAAAGCGUGGGGAGCGAACAGG
rnacentral:rRNA from 1 species